rnacentral:rRNA from 1 species
GACGAACGCUGGCGGCGUGCUUAACACAUGCAAGUCGAACGGAAAGGCCCUGCUUUUGUGGGGUGCUCGAGUGGCGAACGGGUGAGUAACACGUGAGUAACCUGCCCUUGACUUUGGGAUAACUUCAGGAAACUGGGGCUAAUACCGGAUAGGAGCUCCUGCUGCAUGGUGGGGGUUGGAAAGUUUCGGCGGUUGGGGAUGGACUCGCGGCUUAUCAGCUUGUUGGUGGGGUAGUGGCUUACCAAGGCUUUGACGGGUAGCCGGCCUGAGAGGGUGACCGGCCAAAUUGGGCCUGAGAUACGGCCCAGACUCCUACGGGAGGCAGCAGUGGGGAAUAUUGCACAAUGGGCGGAAGCAUGAUGCAGCAACGCCGCGUGCGGGAUGACGGCCUUCGGGUUGUAAACCGCUUUCGCCUGUGACGAAGCGUGAGUGACGGUAAUGGGUAAAGAAGCACCGGCUAACUACGUG